UGAAGUGUUGCCUGAUUCUAGAAUAGGAAAUAAAGUCAAUUAGGAUAUUUAAACUAAAUAUGUUGUGCUUUUGUCUUUUGACAGUUCCAUGAUGGAAAAUCUAAUGGCCACUUUCCAUUUACCAUGUCCAAGGAGCAGUCCAGUCUUCCCUCCAUUUCCACAAUGACCCCAACUGUUUCACCAUUUGCUCCUCAAAGAACAUCUGGAUUUGUUUCUGGCUUUUAGCUAUGAGGAAUAAGCCUGCUGAGAAUAUUCAGCUCCAGGAUUUUGUAUGAAUCUGAGUUGGCUGCUCUCGCCUCUUCUUUCACCCGCUCCUGGCAGCACAGCAAUCCCUGCAAGUUACUCGGACCCUCAGGACUCAUCA
rnacentral:lncRNA from 1 species